rnacentral:rRNA from 1 species
CAGCCGCCACGGUAAUACGGAGGGGGCUAGCGUUGUUCGGAAUUACUGGGCGUAAAGCGCACGUAGGCGGCUGUGUAAGUCAGAGGUGAAAGCCCGGGGCUCAACCCCGGAAUAGCCUUUGAGACUGCAUAGCUUGAACACGGGAGAGGUGAGUGGGAUUCCGAGUGUAGAGGUGAAAUUCGUAGAUACUCGGAAGAACACCAGUGGCGAAGGCGGCUCACUGGACCGUUGUUGACGCUGAGGUGCGAAAGCGUGGGGAGCAAACAGGAUUAGAUACCCCCGUAGUCCCUGUCUCUUAUAC